rnacentral:lncRNA from 1 species
CUCCGGGCAGGUCGCAGGCGCGUGCGCACAUCGCAAUGCGAAGGAAGGGUCACGAGGCGCCUCGGGGAGGCUGCGACCUUAGCCGGCGGUGGGCGGGGCCCUGCCCGUGACGUCGCGGGGAGCUACCCUCCCCUCCCCCAGCACAGCUCUAAUGGCCGUUGCCGCCCGCUGGAUCUGGGGGUUUCAACUUCUGGCACCUUCGAAAGAUGAGGAGAUCACCAUGAGUGCGGUGGGUUUUUGGACAGAGUACAGAAAGCUGUUCAGCUGUACUCCAAAGAGCUUAACAUCUCUUCUGAAUGGUGCUACAGACUGAGUGGGUGUUUACACUUAUUUUGAAAUCUUUCCUCCAGGAGGAAAGGAAAAUACAAUGGAUAAUGACUAACUGGAAGCAUGGCUCUGUUUGAGUCGUAUGUUCAGUGUGAGUAUGAUCCUGGCAGUCUGCUGAACUGUGGAGAUUUGCUUGGAAGGAGAGGGUAAAAUACGUGAUCUCUUAGUGGGACAACUUAGAAGACCUGCUGUGAAGAAAGUCUCAAUGAAAAAUGCAAUGGUAUUUUGCUCCCUCUUCAGCUCCUCUCUGGGAAACAGCUGAAUAAUCCCUCAUUCAAGUAACCAGCUAAAAAAGAAUAAAUGGCCAUGUGAUGUUUCUGCCUCUCUAAUC